rnacentral:rRNA from 1 species
UACAUAGGGUGCAAGCGUUGUCCGGAAUUAUUGGGCGUAAAGAGCUCGUAGGUGGUUCGUCACGUCGGAUGUGAAAACCUGAGGCUCAACCUCAGGCCUGCAUUCGAUACGGGCAAACUAGAGUUUGGUAGGGGAGACUGGAAUUCCUGGUGUAGCGGUGGAAUGCGCAGAUAUCAGGAGGAACACCAAUGGCGAAGGCAGGUCUCUGGGCCAAUACUGACACUGAGGAGCGAAAGUCUGGGGAGCGAACAGG